AAUUGGAGGGCAAGUCUGGUGCCAGCAGCCGCGGUAAUUCCAGCUCCAAUAGCGUAUAUUAAAGUUGUUGCAGUUAAAAAGCUCGUAGUUGAAUUUCGGGAUUGACGUGAUGGUCGUGCCUUACGGGGUAUGAACUGUUGCUGUUGAUUUCUCACCUUCUGGAGAAACUUGAUGUCCUUAAUUGGGUGUCUUGCGGAUCCAGGACCUUUACCUUGAAAAAAUUAGAGUGUUUAAAGCAGGCAUUUUGCUCGAAUACAUUAGCAUGGAAUAAUAGAAUAGGACGGCAUGGUUCUAUUUUGUUGGUUUCUAGGAUCACCGUAAUGAUUAAUAGGGAUAGUUGGGGGCAUUAGUAUUCAAUUGUCAGAGGUGAAAUUCUUGGAUUUAUUGAAGACUAACUACUGCGAAAGCAUUUGCCAAGGAUGUUUUCAUUAAUCAAGAACGAAAGUUAGGGGAUCGAAGACGAUCAGAUACCGUCGUAGUCUUAACCAUAAACUAUGCCGACUAGGAAUCAGACGAUGUUAAUUUUUUAAUGACUCGUUUGGCACCUUACGGGAAACCAAAGUGU
rnacentral:rRNA from 1 species